AAAACCCUAACUGAGCCAGCAUGCUUGGGCUGCCUCACCUCCUAGUGAGCCGGGCUCUGACAGGCGACUCUACGUCCACAGCACGGACUGCCUCACCCUCGGCCCUUUAGCGUCAACAACACAUGAGAAGGGGAGUUCAGGAAACGGUCACUCAGGCUAGUGCAACCACACGGGGGAAGCGAGUGCUUUGACAGUCUGCACGGGGCAUCGCCACGGUUUCCAGGCCCUGACCAGUCAACUCCAUUUACUUUUGGAAAAUAGUCCAGGUUGCACAUCAAGACGAGUGGACAAGGAUGGACACCAGAAAGUUGCUUCUAAGAGUCAAACACGGAAGACGCCAGAUGAGGUUCUAACAGAACAAGAGGGGAGCCAUCCUUAUUUCACUCCUUCAUAGACAGAGGAAAGUGUUUGCCCAGGACGUCCUUGAACCCAGGCACCGGGCACACCUCAGACCUAAAGACCUGUUCUCAGCCCACAUGGAACCCGCCAUUUGAUAUGGAAAAAGUCACGGCAUGGGUCAACACACCGUGCGUCACCGGGUGAGCCUCGCGCACUCAGGAGCUUCUGACGCAAGGGCUGGAGAGCGGUCAGGUCAUGCCCCAAGAAGGCAGUCCACAGCCCAGCUGACACAGGCCUGGCCCACGUGACCAUCACCCGGAGGCACAAGGCCUGCAGGCACUUCCAACUGGAGGUGCAACGCCUCAGAUUCUUCGUGACAACCGUCAAACUCGCUGCCCUUAGCAGCUACUCUUCUCCCAGGUUAGGAAAGGACACGUGCCUGUGGGGCUCGGAGCCGCACGCAGGGAAGCUGCGGCUACCAGGCUGGGAGGAAGCCCACACGG